UACGGAGGGUGCAAGCGUUAAUCGGAUUUACUGGGCGUAAAGCGCACGCAGGCGGUCUGUCAAGUCUGAGGUGAAAUCCCCGGGCUCAACCCGGGAACUGCAUUCGAAACUGGCAGACUAGAGUCUUGUAGAGGGGGGUAGAAUUCCAGGUGUAGCGGUGAGAUGCGUAGAGAUCUGGCGGAAUACCGGUGGCGAAGGCGGCCCCCUGGACAAAGACUGACGCUGAGGUGCGAAAGCGUGGGGAGCAAACAGG
rnacentral:rRNA from 1 species